UACGGGGGGGGCAAGCGUUACUCGGAUUUACUGGGCGUAAAGGGCGCGUAGGCGGAUGGUACAGUCAGACGUGAAAUUCCUGGGCUCAACCUGGGGGCUGCGUUUGAUACGUGCUGUCUGGAGUUCGGAAGAGGGUCGUGGAAUUCCCAGUGUAGAGGUGAAAUUCGUAGAUAUUGGGAAGACCACCGGUGGCGAAGGCGGCGACCUGGUCCGAUACUGACGCUGAGGCGCGAAAGCGUGGGGAGCAAACAGG
rnacentral:rRNA from 1 species